rnacentral:pre_miRNA from 1 species
UCAUCAAGUGGUGCCGGGGUAAUUAAAACUCUGAGUUCUUAUAGCUUCAGAGUUUUGUUACCCUUGCUCCAUAUGGG